AGAGCACUUUCCACUACAUCACAAGGGAAGAGCAAAAAGAAAAAAUAACAUCUAAUUUUACCAGAAAAUAAAAUACAGGCAGGCCUGAACCACAGCCAGAGUUAAAUGUGGAGCAUACCUACCUCCAAACCCAGCUGGAACCUCAAAGCACUCUGCAUCUGAGGAUCUCAAAUGGCCUGACAAACGUUAAUUAACUAAGCUGCACAACACUCCUGUGAGGGUGGCAGGCAGCAUGAUCCUCUCCAAGCGACAGAUGAACGGAGAUCCUGGGAGGCCCUUCCUUUGAAAGUCAGUGGCUCAACUUGGAACUCAACUUCCAGAACUUGGAACUCAACUCCCCAGGCCCAUGGUUGAGCAUCUCCGCUGAAGCCAAGUAGCACAAAAUGUAGAUGUUACAACUGACAGACUUUUCUAAAGAAAUUUAAACUGGAAACCAAGAUCAAUCUCAAGGAGAUUUAUCUUUCCUCUAGCUGCAAGAAAAAAGUGCUCUAAUAACUACAGCAUUUGAACCUAUGGAAGAACCUGAGCUACAAGUUAUCUAUAACAUUCCGUUUUGACAAAUAACAUGGAGGAGUUUACCUGAAUGUUGAUUUUCCAUGAGCUCCCCCUAAAGACUCACCCAAUAAGCUUAACUGUACUUCCGUAUUUUAUUAACAAAUGAAAAACUACACAAUGUUGGUUAAUUUUUUUGUGAAAUUUAAUGAUCGAUUUUUGGAUCCUUAUUCAUGUAGUUAUCAGAUAAAAAGCCAAGUUUUCUGCAAUGGAAUAUCCAAUCUAAAAAUUCCAUUACAAAAAUAAAAUCCAGAAUUUCUUAUUCAGGAAACAAUAAAAUUAAUACAGUUGCAUCUGCAUAAAUUUAUCUAAAAAAUAAAUACCUUUGUGUAGAUGUACAUCAUAAAAAAAAAACUUGUCAGAAAAGUAUACAACUUUACAUGAAUGCUGACUAUACUAUACUACUUAGUUUAAAAUGAUUAAGAAACAUCUAUUGGAAUAUAUAAAAUAAUUUACUUAUACUGUUGGUACAGGUAAUUUUAAACAUGUUAACCUCUUCACAGACCUAAACUUUAAAUAAAAACACUGGGUUUUCAAAAUAUUAUUAGUAAAUGUUGGUAACCAUUUUCAGGAGGUGAUUCAUGUUCUAUAAGAUCUAUUCUAGAAAUGUUAAGAUAAUAAAGUUGUCAUAUAAGCUUAGACUAUUUCUAGCAAAGAUUCUAAAGCCCUUAAUACUUCUUCCUACUAACACAAGAAAAUACUCAAAAAUUUUGUAGAAAUAUUGUGUGAUUAAUAUGCAAAAAAAAGCCUAGUUUUCCUAGAGCAAUUUAUAAGAUCAAGUUUAUGGCAAUGUGGCUUUUGUCAUACUCAAAGCACAGAAGUCAACACAGAGGCAUAUGCAACUGAAAAUUUUUAUAUCAAGAUCAAUUCCAUACUAAUAACAAGGGAAAAAUAUAGACAUUUACUAAAUAAAAAUAUACAUAAAUGAUAUCAUAUUGAACACAAAACUAAAAGCCAAACACUGACCCUGACAUAAGCCAAAAAAAGGAGAAAACCACUAAUGUUAAUGAAGAGAACAUUUCGAAAUUUUAGCUCUUCUUGUGAUUCUUAUAUUUCCUUCCUCACUUUGAGAAGUACAGCAAACUUUCAUUGCUAAAACCAGUUUAAAAAAAAAAGUUAUCAGAAAGACUAAUAUGCUGAAAGCAACAUUUUAAUUAUGUGCUUUGUAACACAAUCCUAACUACAUUCAGCCUUUUAUUUCAAAAUGUUUCCAUUAUUUACCAGCAUAGUAUUGAACUAUAUUAAAUCAACAUUUUCUGUUGGGCAAGUUUUCCAUACUUAAUUCUUGAUAUCACUCUGUAUAGUAUUUUUAAAUGAUUAAGUUUUACUUUAGUAUUAGAAACUGUAUAUAUAAAUGUAUUAAUAUACUUGCUCUAUUAAUGCUAUAUUGAAAAAACUAUUUAAUUAAAAAGGUACUUUUAAAAUCUGAUAGUUUACAUUUCUUAAAUUGCUUACAAUUUCUGAAUAAUUGUAGUUACUUUCAAGUUCUAUUUUAUUGUUUCAAAUAUAAACAUGCAUUCUGUAGGCAUAUAUUUAUACACUACUGUAAUUUGGGUUCAAAACAUGUAAAUUAUAUCUGUAUAUUUCUAUGGUGUAUUUUAAAUUAUUACAGGACAUCUUCACUAAUAACUAUGCCUCUGAAACUAUAAACUUAUAGUACUUUUUUUUUGGCCUUUAGUAAACAUGACCUCAAAAUUCUGCUUUUUUUUUUUUUUCUACCACUGGUAGGGUAAUGAAUUAGAGGUAGGUAAUUCGGUAUGAUAAUUUCAGAAUACCAACUAAUACCACCAAAGUAGAAUUGGUGUCAAAUUCACAAUGAGAAUGGGCUGUUUCUUAAUUCUGUUAGGUGUCUUAAAAAGCUCAUCAUCUAAGAUAUGUACACAUUGAAAAUUUCAUAUACAGCUAAUAACCUAAAUGUUGCCCAAUAAAUUAAAUUGGCUACCCUUCCUAUUCCAAAUAUCCAGUAAAAUUGGUGAUUUCCAAAAGCACUAUUCAAAUAUAAAAUGUGAAUCUUAAAAGAUUUAAAUUUUAUUGCAACCACAGAAUGAUUCAAUAUUCUUCCUUUUAUAUAUGCAUAUGCAUGUAUUUGUAUAUAUUAAUGUAAUUUUAUCAGAUCUCUGAAAUUUAGUAGAUUACAGCCUUUGAAGAUAAUAAAUCAUAGGGUUGGAAUUUGGCUAUUAUUGUAGAACACAGCUAAGGAAUCUCUUGUUUAAGGUUUCCUACUUCAGCAGCUAAUGUGGAGGAACUGAAAAGGCUGUUAAAAUGAUGCAAUAGAAACUUGAAAUCAGGGAUUUAAGGAAGUGGAGGAAUUGAGAAAAACAACUUUUUAGAAAAGUAUUAACAUCUCCAUCUUGCUCAAAAAAUGCAACCACUACGCUCAGGUUUUUUAUACCAUUGCUUAAUAAAUUGUCAUUUCAAAGUCUUAGAGUAUAUAAACAAUGGCAGAAAAGGUAAUAUUCCAGAAACAGUCAAACAAUAUGGUGUCAAAUGAAGAUGUCAUGGAUGAAACCAAUUUUAAGUAGAAAAAGGAAGGAAAGGGGUUCCGGUGAUAUAGAUAUAAGGCCCCCAAAUAUACCAUACUCUCAAAAUGCAGUAUGAAUUUAAUAAAACAUAGGACAUUUCAUUCCCGCCUUAUAACCAGAAGCCAUGAGUCACUUGAGGCCAGAAGAGUAAUGACAUGCUGAGAAAACAACAAAUAUUGACAAUGAUAAAAAUGCAGCUCCAUGUAUAUUCACUGGAGGGGAGUUCCCUAAAUUGAACCCCCUCUUGAAGGGCACAGAAACUGUUUCUCUUUUUUUCCCGAAGUUACUCCUAAUAAACUUGCUUCUUCCCUGCAGGAAGGAUUCUUUGUUUCUCUCUGUACAGGGGGCAUCUCCUCUUCUGUAUUCAAGUCCUUCUCUUAGCUCCAGGGCAUGACUACAGAUGGGAAAGCUAACAGCUUCUAUAAUUAACUGUGCACCUCUAAGGGGCGUUUUUCAACUCCGCUAGAGAAUACUGAGAAGCACAGAUAGGCUUCAGAGAAUCUGCAGGAAAUGAGAGCAGAGCAGCCAAGCAGACAUUGGGAAGAGCAAUUUUUCUCCCCAGAAUACAUCCAGAGAGAACUCACUGGUCUAUGACCCGCAGGUCAAAGCACCUGGCUAAUGGAACUCUAUUUCCCAACUGGAUCUUUUGUAAAGGUUAGCUGGUUUCUGAUCCUACCUUCUAUGCACAAACAAAGCUUCAAAAUCAUCCAGAGAAGCUCAAAACUUUCACAGACUUAAGGUAAAAUGUCCAAGAGGUGGUGUCUUAGGCAUCGAGCAACUAUCACUUAUUGGGAGCUCAUGAAUUUUCAAAAUCUAAAAUACUUUUUAACAAUGCUGAGUCUACAUAGUAUGAAGAGAGCAAUCGAGGAUCUUACCUUACUCAGAGGUUUUGUUUUCUUUUUCCACAUGGAACUAGGUCUUUCCCCCUAAAAGAUCCUGUUCAUAUCAAAUGCAUGGCACUCUUCUUUGGCCGCUUUUCACACUAUUCACACUUAGCCUUUUCUCAUUUUUCCCCCUCUUGUUGGCAACUCGACAACAACAAGCAUUGUCAUUUAUACAUAAUUAUAUCGUGGGUUUUAAAAAACUCCGUAUUUUGGUAUGAACAUCUCAUCAAGGACAUUACAUUCUUAGUGAUUUAAAUCUCUUCUGACUUCCUUAUUAACCAUAUAUUGUCAUAGCAGCCUAAAAUUUAAAAGUCAUUUAGUUAUUUCAGUGUAGCAGAUGUACAUCCUUCUGGGAUUCUAAACCUCCCUUCUCCAAAUAUGGCCUUGUUGUUUUGUAUAGUCACCAGGAAUGAUUAACCAACAUUCAAUCUGAGCUAAGAGCAAAGACAAACAAGUGACUGCCUAACACUGUAUCAAGUAAGUGCACAGCACACACAAACACACAUGAGUUACUUGCUGCCACUUUGGCCUUAGGAGUAUAAAUCCCCAGAUUGAGACAGAUCAUUAAGUUUCACUUCACACACAACACAAUCCUGUAGAGAAAGAAUGUGUGUUCCUCCUUUUGCCCUUCAAAACAAAUGAAUUAUUUAAAAAUGAAACCAUCCUACCCGUAACAGGGACUGGGAUUCAUCCUUGGACUUGUUUUCUCCCGAUGCAGGAU
rnacentral:lncRNA from 1 species